GCACCGCCGUCGCCGCCACCACCGCGGGGCGGGGCCCAGGCCGGGGGCGGGGCGCCGGGCGAGCGCGGCGCUAUUUCCAGCCUUGCCGGAGGCUUCGCUCGCACUUCGCUGGGAGCCUCUCGGCGCGCUGGCCGGAUCCGCCGGUGGUGGAGAGAGGAGAAGGCGGCGGCGGGAGGCGGGGGACCAACCGGAGCCGGGGGCCGAGGAGGAACACGCCACCGCGCCCUCUCCGUCUCCUGCGCGCUCUAGCCGCCGGCCCCACGCCGCUCGCCUCACCCACCGCACGGGGUUCUUCUCGGAGUGGGAGGAGGCGCCGGGCCCGAGCUGGGGCGGAGGUCCUCCCUGUCGCCCGGGAGCCCCGGAGCGGAGGAUUCGCUGUGGAGGACCGCGCCGGCGGCCCCGGGAGCGCCGGCUGCGUCAGGUGAAGAUGUGCUUUGAGGAAAAGUUUGAUUUUUGUAUUUACUACAGAGUAGCAGGAAAAAGAGACCGUGAGCCUGUUACAUCUUCAGUUUUCUCCUUUCCAAGAGUCAAAGUUGGUCCUGACACUACAUUCUGCAAAUCAAAGUAGGGUCGUUUCCAUCCCCACAAGUGCCAGUACACUGUGCUCAUGACUUUUUGUGCUAAACAAACCCACAGACACACUCCUGCUUCUUGGAGCCUGGGCAUGGAUAGAUGCCUGGUCUGCCCCACUGCCCUCUGGCUGCUGGUCAUGGAGGUCACAUUGCCAUCUGCAAACCAAACUUCGGCAUCAGGACUCUUGCUUUUGCUCUCUUUGUCCCUUUUGGAAUAGCUGAGGAUGACGCAUGAGGCUCUUAUCAUCUGUCUAUUGCAAAGAUGGGGGGACACCUUCCUUGAGGUGUUGGCAAAUUCUGGGCAGUGAUGCCAAACCACCCUCUUACCUUAAAUAACAUAGGACCAAGAUCACAUGAAAUUUAUUCUAAAACCUGUGGGUUUUAUUUUUUUUCUGCAAAAUGUCAUUCUCUGCUUCGCCUGAGAGAAACUGGCAUUGGCACACAGCACCAGGAUCUGAAGUGCUUGUCACCUGUCUGGACAAAACCCUUGUGUCCUAAACGAUACGGAUCUUCACCCUAUUGGAAACUCCAUGAAACCUGACUCGAGGGCAGCAGGCCUUGCCUUGGUCAAGAAACAGAACGCGGCCUGGAGGGAUUCAUUGCAAAGGCCAAGCUAGCGACCUAGCGAGGGCAGCAGGCUUAAGUUUUGCAAAAGACCAAAUCUAUUAUUUGGUUAUUAGUUGUGACGCAUGGAUGAUACAGGAAACGGCACCUGGGUAUGUAUGACACACGGCUAAAGAGGCGAUCGGAGAGGAAACGCUGUUCCCUGAGCCUCGGAGACUCCUGAUAGAAUUGAUUAUGUCUCUUGAACUGGAGUCAAGUUUCUUCGAGGUAAAUGAGCUGAAUUGGAAAAUAAUAUUAGACUUCCAUUAUGGGUGUUCUUGCAAUGCCAAAUUCAAGAGAAGGACUGAGUGUGUGUGUCUAUGUUUGUGUGUGUGAAGACAUGGGAAAACCUCACAAAUAUUUUCAGAAUAUACUCCACCGUUCCCUGGCAAG
rnacentral:lncRNA from 1 species